GCCAGGUGCAGUGGCACCUGCCUGUAGUCCCAGCUACUUGGGAUGCUGAGGUGGGAGGACCGUUGGAGCCCGGGAGCCCUGUGCUGUAAUGCACUGUGCUGACUGAAUGUCCACACUAAAUUUGGCAUCAAUAUGGUGACCUCCUAAGAGUGAGGACCACCAGGUCACCUAAGGAGUGAACCAGCCCAGGUCAGAUGUGGAGUAUGUCAAAAGUCUUGUGCUGAUCAGUAGUGGGAUUGUGCCUGUGAAUAGCCACCGCACUCCAACCUGGGCAACAUAGCAAGACCCUAUCACU
rnacentral:SRP_RNA from 1 species